rnacentral:rRNA from 1 species
AGUGAACGCUGGCGGUAUGCCUAACACAUGCAAGUCGAACGGCAGCACAGUAAGAGCUUGCUCUUACGGGUGGCGAGUGGCGGACGGGUGAGGAAUACAUCGGAAUCUACUUUUUCGUGGGGGAUAACGUAGGGAAACUUACGCUAAUACCGCAUACGACCUACGGGUGAAAGCAGGGGAUCUUCGGACCUUGCGCGAUUGAAUGAGCCGAUGUCGGAUUAGCUAGUUGGCGGGGUAAAGGCCCACCAAGGCGACGAUACGUAGCUGGUCUGAGAGGCUGAUCAGCCACACUGGAACUGAGACACGGUCCAGACUCCUACGGGUGGCAGCAGUUGGGAAUAUUAGACAAUGGGCGCAAGCCUGAUCCAGCAAUACCGCGUGGGUGAAGAAGGCCUUCGGGUUGUAAAGCCCUUUUGUUGGGAAAGAAAAGCAGCAGGUUAAUACCCCGAUGUUCUGACGGUACCCAAAGAAUAAGCACCGGCUAACUUCGUG